GCAAUUUAGCUAAUUUAGCUAAUUUGAAAUCUUAAACAAGGCUAUUUGCUGGCAUCAAAUCUACACGGAUAGAUGCUUCUAACCUUAAGUAAUCUAGGUAUUUUGGUUGUGCCAUUCUGUGUAAUGGUUAAAACCCCAGCUGACUUCUUGUCCCGUGUUAAUCAGCAGAUAAUUACAUCAGCUGUCUGGCAGCCUCAGCAAAGGGUCCUCCAGCAUACAGACUACAGGCUGUUAAGGAAAGGAAAAGAAAAAACCAAAGCAACAGCCUUUUCUCUUACAUUCGGAUAUCUUUAGGGAUAUAAGGAACCUCCAUCAGUGGCCAACCACGUAAUGAAGCUGCCACAUCUCUAUGGGCUGUGGCCAGUAUUGCUCCUGGAGUGGACCAGAGCUGCUUCUUAGAUGUUAUUCCUGUUUUCAGCAUCCAGGAGAGGACAGUGCUGGAAUGAAGCUUGUUUUGCCAGGGGAGGUGCAGAAUGAAUAUUAGGAAACAUUUCUUCUCAGAAGGAGUGGUGCUGCAGUGUUCACAGACUGCCCAGGGAGUGGUGGGGUCACCAUCCUUGGAGGUGUCCAAGAACCAUGGAGAUGUGGCACUGAGACAGAUGUAACUGAGAAAACAACAGUGACACUCCAGCAUCCCCUGUGCUCUGGUGCCCACGACCUGCAGUCAGCAUUGUAGGGUCCUGGGGAGGGCUCUGGGUGAGAACCCCUAUGUGCCUACCGCAUGGAUGCCAAAGGACAGGAUGCCACCCAAUGGCCAGAGAUGACCCAGGUGGAAAACCUCGGUCCUAAGGCACAUCCCUGUGGUGUGAGUGUCCCAGGUACGCUGGGAGCUUUCUCCCUGUGAGCCCACACGUCCCACAGCCUCUUCUGUUCUCCUCUCAGAAUGUGGUUUUUCAGGUCUUCAGUGCUAGUUUUGGUUGCUGGACCACAGACUAAGCUUUACCUCUGGUUUCUGGAAUCAGCCUUUCAUCCAGUAAGUAAGAAGAAUGACCCACAAAUGGACCGCCGUGUUUUGUUCUGCUCUCAAACUGAGCAGCAGGAACUCCUCUGGAUUCUGACCCAGCAGCACAUCUCCCAGCAAGUGAUGGGCUUGAAUGCCUGCAAGGGAGGGCUGGAGGGUUUCUGUGCAAACAAAACCCAUUUCUAACCUUGGCAGCUGCAGCAAAGAGCUCCUGGUUGUCACUCCGCACUCAGGGAGCCACACAAGAGGUGGUGUACCUUCUCCCUUUGAAGUACGUGGGCACUUUCCUUGGCAGCCAGCAGCCUCAGAGCCGGCCGUGAGACCCACUGGGAAUUAUGCUCCCACUCGUGAGCAAGAGCCACCUAUUUCAGGCAGAGAACACUUCAUCCUCCUGAAUCGAACCACCUGCAGGAGGAACCCAAGCUCUUGGUCUCACAGGAUUUGGCCAUAAAACACCAGGAACACCUGCGUUCUUCACCCCAUUCUGUGGCAGAGUCCGGGAAUCUCCUCCAGCUCCCAGUAAGGGCAGGAGCCAGCUGGGAAUCGCCCAGGUCAUCAAAGCCAUCUACCCAACACUCUCUGUCUGACACUGAGUCUCCUUAAUGUCCAGAAUGUGCCUUUUUUUCUACUGAAAAAUAGGAUCAUGGCGCAGUUGGGUGGAAGGGCCCCUGAAGCCCUCCCCAGCCACAUGAUGGGUUCCCC
ensembl:lncRNA